rnacentral:rRNA from 1 species
UACGUAGGGUGCGAGCGUUAAUCGGAAUUACUGGGCGUAAAGCGUGCGCAGGCGGUUAUUUAAGUCAGGUGUGAAAGCCCUGGGCUUAACCUAGGAAUUGCGCUUGAGACUGGAUAGCUUGGAGUGCGGCAGAGGGAGGUGGAAUUCCACGUGUAGCAGUGAAAUGCGUAGAGAUGUGGAGGAACACCGAUGGCGAAGGCAGCCUCCUGGGCCAGCACUGACGCUCAUGCACGAAAGCUAGGGGAGCAAACAGG